CCUACGGGAGGCAGCAGUGGGGAAUAUUGGACAAUGGGCGAAAGCCUGAUCCAGCCAUGCCGCGUGUGUGAAGAAGGUCUUCGGAUUGUAAAGCACUUUAAGUUGGGAGGAAGGGCAUUAACCUAAUACGUUAGUGCUUUGACGUUACCGACAGAAUAAGCACCGGCUAACUCUGUGCCAGCAGCCGCGGUAAUACAGAGGGUGCAAGCGU
rnacentral:rRNA from 1 species